GUUCUACCUCAUUCCUUUGGGUGGGCACCCCUCUGUGAGGGGAAAGGGCUAGUGCUCCCUCUUCUGGACCUGGACUAGGAAAUUCAGAACCAGGAAACGUGGAUAUUCCUUUUUGGAAAGGUGCACUACCCACACAACCUCUCUGAAAAUCCCAAAGCUCACUUCUCUGGAAGAAAAGCUCCCAGUAUGUGGAUUCCCUCGGUGCUCUGAGUCGAGCAGUCUGGUUCCAGCUCCAUGUCCCAUCACUUGAUCUGUGGCAAAGAUGAAUCUUAAUACUCAAUUUGUCCUUGGUUCAGAAAAGACUCUUCCUGUGUCCUGCUCUUGUGCCACCGCUGGGUGAGAGAUGCCUGGGGUACGUGCCAAGCUGAUGGUCUGUGCAUGCCAGAGCCGGGUGACCAGUGCGGGGAAGGAGGAGAAUGUUCAUUCCAUUUUUUCCUAUUUUACCCUAGUCUUUUAAUACCACUCGUCUCCAAUCCCCUUCCCUGAAACUAUGUAAAAUUGAACAGGGACAAAGGACACAGAGCUUACAGCCUCCACUUUAGGCAGAGCUUAAAGCCUCAACAAUCACCACUUUUCAAAGUGACCCAAGCUUGCCAUGGUCAGAUCAGAAGGGAAUGUCCCUAGGUGGGCUGGGAGGAGGAAUGCCCGAGCUCAGGGUCCUUUAGGAAAAUAAGCCACGCUGACCACUAGAUGGCGCUAAGAGAUAGCCUCUGGCGACCCAGAAGGUCGGAGGUCACACACAGGACUUUUGAGAGGGAAGACAGGUUGGUCAUCUGAACAAACCUCCCUUCACAAAAAGGCAUUGGCAAGGAGAGCUUCCAAUAGGAUAUGAGCGCUGAUGCUUCUCAUCAAAACCCUGCGCCUGAGCCUGACGAUCGGAACCAUCAGAACGCAAGGAGGCAAAGGUCUGAUGGAUCAAAGGGGACCCACCGGUUUGAUGCUAACCUACUGGAGGAAGGGAGGUCGUCUCGUCCGCUCAGAGGGAGCCAUUAUGAUUCUCAUAUUAAAGUCAUGGAAACUGAGUCCCGGAGAGUUAAGGAACCUGCCCACGUCUACAGAGAUGAGGUUGAAACAGAACCCAAAGCAAGGGGGAAGUCACACGGAGGAGUGCAGCUGGGAGACCAUCGGCUAACACCUUGGUGAGCCUUUUUCUGUGUGCCCUCAGUGUUCUGAAAUCGUCCAUGCAUUUAACUCAGUCCACCCUCCCUUUCUAAAAGCUUUGUACUUUGUGAUAAAUCACUUCCAUGAAUACCAGUGGGAAGGAACAAAGGGGCCCUCAAACACACACCUACAGAAAUGUAGGUCCUUUUUUUUUUGGCCUCGCCUGUGCUAUGUGGAAGUUCCCAGGCCAGGGACCGAACCUGUGCCACAUCAGCGAUCCAAGCAGCUGCAAUGACAAUACCAGAUUCUUAACCCACAGUGCCACAAGAGAACUCUGGUGCAGUCUCCUUUGAAGGCAAUUUGGCAACAUCUAUUGAAAUUUAAAAUUCACAUUGUGUUUACACCCAGAAAUUCCACUUCUAAGUAUUAAACUGGACCAAGAAGUAUGUACAGAGAUAUUCAUGGUAGCAAGAUCCGUAAUAGCCAAGGAUUAGAAACAUCCUAAAUAUUUAUCAUUAGGAAUGCUAGGGGAAUGUUAAAAAAUAAAGCAAAUGGGGAGUUCCCA
rnacentral:lncRNA from 1 species